AGGUUGGGUAACACUAACUGGAGGACCGAACGACUAAUGUUGAAAAAUUAGCGGAUGACUUGUGGCUGGGGGUGAAAGGCCAAUCAAACCGGGAGAUAGCUGGUUCUCCCCGAAAGCUAUUUAGGUAGCGCCUCGUGAACUCAUCUUCGGGGGUAGAGCACUGUUUCGGCUAGGGGGGUCAUCCCGACUUACCAACCCGAUGCAAACUACGAAUACCGAAGAAUGUUAUCACGGGAGACACACGGCGGGUGCUAACGUCCGUCGUGAAGAGGGAAACAACCCAGACCGCCAGCUAAGGUCCCAAAGUCAUGGUUAAGUGGGAAACGAUGUGGGAAGGCACAGACAGCCAGGAUGUUGGCUUAGAAGCAGCCAUCAUUUAAAGAAAGCGUAAUAGCUCACUGGUCGAGUCGGCCUGCGCGGAAGAUGUAACGGGGCUAAACCAUGCACCGAAGCUGCGGCAGCGACACUAUGUGUUGUUGGGUAGGG
rnacentral:rRNA from 1 species